rnacentral:rRNA from 1 species
GACGAACGUUGGCGGCGUGCUUAAUACAUGCAAGUCAACUGAAGCAGUGGUAGCAAUAUCGCUGUGGAGGUGGCGCACGGGUGAGUAACACGUAGGUAAUCUGCCUUCAGGUCUGGCAUAACUCCGGGAAACCGGGGCUAAUAGCAGAUGAUGCAGCGGCUCGACAUCGAGACAGUUGUUAAAGCUAUGGCGCCUGAAGAUGAGCCUGCGUCUGAUUAGCUAGUUGGCGGGGUAACGGCCCACCAAGGCAACGAUCAGUAGCUGGUCUGAGAGGAUGAUCAGCCACAGUGGAACUGAGACACGGGCCAGACUCCUACGGGAGGCAGCAGUAAGGAAUAUUGCUCAAUGGGAGAAAUCCUGAAGCAGCAACGCCGCGUGAGGGACGAAGGGCUUUUGCUUGUAAACCUCUGUAGUGAGAGAAAAAAAUCCCAAUCUUUGGGACAUGAUGGUAUCUCAAAAGUAAGCCCCGGCUAACUACGUG